GAAAUAUUAGAAAAUUAGAAAACAAGAUGAUCCCAUGCAGGAUCUUGCGCAUAAAUUCUCCCUUUCCGAUGAAAAUUUUUCCCGAACGCCUGCCCGCUGCCAGCACGCGCAUGAACCCACUGAAGCUGCGAAAUAUUUCCGAGGAGAAGAACUUGGGAGAGAAGUUGUAUGCCAUCAAGUCGGAUGUGCCUUCGAGCAAAGCUGAUGCGAAUGUUAACUACGAAAUUAUUGAGCCGAAAUAUUGAGAAAUGAAUGUACAUAUAACCGCUGUGCAUCCUGUUUUUCCAUGUUUAUGCCGUGAUUAAUGCAGACUUGUGAUCAGUGCAUGUGAUGCGCUACAAUAAAUAUUAAUAAAGCCUAUUA